UACAGAGGUCUCAAGCGUUGUUCGGAUUCAUUGGGCGUAAAGGGUGCGUAGGUGGCGGGGUUAGUCAGGUGUGAAAUCUCGGGGCUCAACCCCGAAACUGCACUUGAUACUGCCUUGCUAGAGUACUGGAGAGGAGAUUGGAAUUUACGGUGUAGCAGUGAAAUGCGUAGAUAUCGUAAGGAAGACCAGUGGCGAAGGCGAAUCUCUGGACAGUUCCUGACGCUGAGGCACGAAGGCCAGGGGAGCAAACGGG
rnacentral:rRNA from 1 species